rnacentral:piRNA from 1 species
UUUUCCUGAGAAAACAAACUUUUGUU